rnacentral:lncRNA from 1 species
UGAUUUUUUGUCUAUAAUUUUUAUGUAUUUAUACUCAAAUUUUAAAAAUAAAUAAAAUAAUAUUUCAAAAUGAGUGUUUAAACCAAUUUAAAUAUCGAAUUAAAUUAACAUUUUAAAUUUAUGUUCACAAUCACCCAUUUCAUAUAAAAGAAGAAAAAAUUAAAAUACAUAUAAAACAAUACCAUGAAAAAAAUAUGACAAUUAAAAAAGUCUGUUAGGGUAGUAUUUGGUUGGUACAAGGAAAAGUCCAAAAUAAAAAACCCUUUUCAUUUCUAGGCAAAACUUGUGGUUCAUUGAUUGAACAACAUGUAUUUUUUUCAUAUUUUAUUUUAUUUAUUUAUUUUAAGAGCAUGAAUCUAACCUACAUGUGGACUAACUACAACAACCAAUGAAGGCCACCAACUCCAACCCUCCUUUGCACCACAAUUUCCAUGCUACUGUUAUAUGGCAAGUGUGGCUUUCAUCACCAACCCUUGAUUGUUACAUUUUACUUCCCCAUUUCUUUGGUGUUUGGUUGGUUUAUCUGCUUUCAUAGACUAUCAUUAAUCUUUCUUUUUGGUAGUCAAGGUCAACUUGGAAGAAUCUUUGAUUUUUUAUUUUGGAUUAUAAACAUUAAAAUCUUAUGUUUUAGUAAAAAAAAUAUAUUAAUAUUAUAAAAGUUUCAUUUUAUAUGAAAUAAUUUAAGAGAAACUUGAGAAUCUUGGAGUUUGGAGACAUCUUUUGUAAUUUAUUUUUGGACAAUAACUAAAAUGCAUGAAAUUUAAAAUAAAAUGUGAUAAAUACAAAAAUUUAACCUCUCUUUGAUUUAUGCUCUUAUCUUUUACUUAGGGCUAUUUUGGUUCUAAAAAUUUUGAAGGAAAAUAGAAAAAAAAUAGAGAGAAAAAUAACCAAAAAUAUAAAUUUCUAACUUUUAUUGUGAAACCAAACAUAAAAAAAAGAAGACUUCUUUUAGUAUUUUCUUUUUCUUUCCUUAAUAUUUUUGGAGAACCAAACAUAACAUAAAAGUUAGAAUCAAUCAUUAGGCCUUAACUUGAAUUCUUCAGUUUAUGCCACCACUUGAUUAGUUUUUCAUUGAUCCAUGUUGAUGUUAAACUUCAAGUGUUUACCUACCAUGGAUCUCUCUCUCACCAAUACGCACCUUAAUGUUUCACCAAAUCCUCAUUUGAUAACAAAUUUUAGAUCGCUUUCCCUUUCAAGUAAACCUUCAUUUUAAAGAAAUUUUAUAAACAAGAAACUUCUACAUGAAUGAAAUUUUUUCUUAGGAACCUUAAAGAGGUGUGAACUCUAAAUAACACCUAUGCUUCCCUUAAAGAAAGAUUUUACAUGCCUUUGUGACUGUUCAUGUUAACUGUUAUACUUGUGGGAUAUCUUCUACUAUCAAUUCUUCUUCUACAGCAAGAGAUUCUUCCUUCCAAUCUUCAAGAGACAUGCCAAAGACCAAUACUUGCCAUGCACACCCAUAGUCUAUACGAAUUGGCUAGCAAGAUACUAAAGUAGUCAAUCUUAACCUAACAUUACAUUAUGCAAUGAAUAAGAUAGAGAGAGCGGUAGAAUAUUAGAUUCCCUCAUAAUACCAUUGUUAUAACUAGACUGCAUGGUUUAAUUAAUACUUGAUAAAUUAUGAUGAUAUCCUAUAAUAAUGUUGUGCAUGCCUUCAAGAUAGUGGAUAUUUUAAACUAAAGAUCUAUAAUCAUUUGAGAUUUCAUUUUGGAUAUUUCAAAAAUCACUUUUUACAAUAAAAUCACUAUAUUUGAUAAAAUAAAUGGAAAGUGAUCCAAAAUAGAUAACCUAUAGCUUUUUGUAAGCAAUUUUCUAAGAAUUAGGUAGUUUUUUCUACAUUCAACCUAAAAGUCAAAACUCUUAAUAGACAAAUUGCCAUCUUUUUGUGGAACUUUUAGGCCUUAGCUUGAAUUCUUCUAAUAAUGCCACCACUUAAUUGGCUUUUCAUUGAUCAUUUUUUAUAUUACACAUAAUGUGUUUACCUAUCAUAGAUCUCUCUCUCACCAAUAUGCACCUAAAUAUCUCACCAAACCCUUCUUUGAUAACAAAUUUUAGGUCGCUUUCCAUUUCAAUUUAACCUUCAUUCUUAAGAAAAUUUUUAGACAAUAAUCAUCAGUUAAAUGAAAAAUUUUCCGAAGAUAGAACCCUAAAGAGGUGUGAAUUCAAAAUAACAUCUAUGUGUUCCUUCACUCAAUUUUAACCUAACGUUAAGUCAUGCAAUGAGUAGAGUAGAGAGACCAAUUGGAUCUUAUGGUCAUUUAAAAUCUUGGAUUCUUGUAGAAUAACAAAGUUUUGACUACCCUAUUAUGUAAUUAAUACUCGAUGAGUUAUGAUCAUAUCCUACGAUUAUGUUGUGAUGGCCUCCAAGACGGUCCAUAUUUUAAAUUAAAGGCCCAUAAUAAUUUCAUAUUUGAUUUUAGAUCUUUCGAAAUCACUUUUUAUAACACAACAAAAGUAUUUGUUCAACCUAAUAUUAUGUAUUUUAUUAGAAAAUUUCAAAUAAAGAAAUUAUCUAAAUCAAACAUGUAUUUUCCAAUUAAAUUGAAUUAUGCUAAUUAAAUGCUAAAAUUUAUUUAAAUUUUAUAAUUUUAAUACAUGUAACACUUUAACUAGAGAAAUUCAACUAAUGAAUUUGUUUAAACAAAAAAGGGUUUUCCAAUUAAAUAAACUUUGUUAAUUAAAUGCUACAAUUUAUUUAAAAUAAAAAUAAAAUAAAAUUAAAAUUUGCUAAUUAAAUACUACAAUGCAUUUAAAAUUCAUUAUUAUUUUUUAUUUUGUAGAGCUUUAAGUAAAAAAUUCAGUUAAUGGAAUUAUUUGGGCAUGUAAAAACGUCACCAUUUUCCUUUUUUUUUUUCUAAUUAAAUUGAAUUUUCCAAUUAAUUGCUACAAAGUCAAUUUCAAUUUUCACACAAGCUAAUUGACUAAUUCACUCAAUUAUUCCUUCAAAAAAACAUAACAAUCUCAACCUACAAAAUAAAGAAAUAAAAGAAAAAAAGAAAAAUCUCAUCCAAAUAAUAAAGCCCAAACCAUAGGCCCAAAUAUAUUUUGUUCCAAGAAUAAAUUUAGAUUGAGGUUAGCCCAACAUGGAUGUUCUACAAAUCGAGGCCCAAAUCUGUGAAUGCGUAAGCUCAAUUUCGUGAUUUUGAGUCAACUCAGUCACAAUAUUAAUUUCAACACCAUCAAAAUCCAACUCAAUUAGCCUAAAGAACCACAAAAGAGAUGAUUUUCUUUUGAAACUGGUGUGUUCAAUUCACAACCUUCAAUCGAUGUUGUAUUUUGAAACAUGACUUCAUUUGAAAACAAUGUUUUCAAACCAUGACUUCUAUUGAUUAAAUGGGCGAUGAACCAAUAAAAAGCACACAAGAACUAGCUUAUAUACAUAAAGGUUAUGUUUCUUUCUCAGAAAGUUUGAAAGAAAAUGUGAGAAAAAGAAAAUAGAGAGGAAAAAGAAAAAAAAAAAGAAAAAAGACAUAAGAAAUAUAUUUAAAAUUAAUUAAUUUUUUUUAUAUACUACUUCAAACUUUUUUUUCACUUAUUUAACUUUUCUAUAUAAAGGUUAAAUAACUUGAAAACAUACAAAAUUCUUAAUAAUUUUAAUUAUAUUUGAUUUUCUUGCGCAUUUUCCUUAACAAAUUCAAAUAUAAGAAAAUAAUUUUCUUUUAAUAUUUUUUUUCUAGUACUUUCAUUCCUUUUUGUAGAAAAUUUUGUAUAAAAUAUUUUCUUAGUUAGUAUAUUAUUGUAAUAUUAUAUUUCCUUAUAAAAUAAGAAAAGUUGUUAGAAAUAAUAUCUUUAUAAAUAUUCUAAACUAUGAAAAGAAAAAGUUAUAAAACGGAGAUGUGCUAAAAACUAUAUAAGGUGGAUAAUGGGAGACACCCAGUUGAGAGAAAGACUUGUGGUUUAAGGUGUACAUAGAUAACAAGGAGCGAGAUGUUUGGAAUCACGUUAAAACCUCGUGUACUUUUAUAUAAUUGUUUUAUUUUUGUGUUUUUAAUCUAGCAUUGUUUGCAUUAAAACUUUGGAAAACAUAAGACCCAACCAUACAUAGCUAGAAUAUUCUAGGUGUAUUGAUUUGAUAAGAUAUCUCCUACUUGUUUAAAUAUUAGUUUUGGCCAAUCUUCUCCUAUCUUCAUAUUUUGUGGAGUCGAAUAUGGAAAUGAUCUUUCUUUACAUUGGGAUUUCUCGAUAGGAAGAAAUUACACAUGCCUUUUUGUGUUUUUAAUAUUGUUUGCAUUAAAACUUUGGAAAACAUAAGACCCAACCAUACAUAGCUAGAAUAUUCUAGGUGUAUUGAUUUGAUAAGAUAUUUCCUACUUGUUUAAAUAUUAGUUUUGGCCAAUCUUCUCCUAUCUUCAUAUUUUGUGGAAUCGAAUAUGGAAAUGAUCUUUCUUUACAUUGGGAUUUCUCGAUAGGGAGAAAUUACACAUGCCUUUUUGUGUUUUUAAUCUAGCAUUGUUUGCAUUAAAACUUUGGAAAACAUAAGACCCAACCAUACAUAGCUAGAAUAUUCUAGGUGUAUUGAUUUGAUAAGAUAUUUCCUACUUGUUUAAAUAUUAGUUUUGGCCAAUCUUCUCCUAUCUUCAUAUUUUGUGGAAUCGAAUAUGGAAAUGAUCUUUCUUUACAUUGGGAUUUCUCGAUAGGGAGAAAUUACACAUGCCUUUUUGUGUUUUUAAUCUAGCAUUGUUUGCAUUAAAACUUUGGAAAACAUAAGACCCAACCAUACAUAGCUAGAAUAUUCUAGGUGUAUUGAUUUGAUAAGAUAUUUCCUACUUGUUUAAAUAUUAGUUUUGGCCGAUCUUCUCCUAUCUUCAUAUUUUGUAGAAUCGAAUAUGGAAAUGAUCUUUCUUUACAUUGGGAUUUCUCGAUAGGGAGAAAUUACACAUGCCUUUCUUUCUAAAGACCUUUAACAGCAAUAUGUAUAAGUUGUCAAUCAACAUGUCCGAGCUUACACCUUCUUCCACAAUUUCCAUCCAAAGAUACAAAGAAUAUAUAUAGUUUGAACUCUCGUUUGAGGAAGCAAAAAACUCCUGGCAUGAACCCAGAGCUAGCUACAGCACUGCCAUUGGAGUACUGGACCGAUCAAAGCUGCUAUGAACGGCUCUCGAUCGGUUCUUCUUCUUAGGCCAAUAUCCAAGUUGAUCAUGAGCCUCUCUAGCUCCUAACAUUCCAUUCCCAAAUGGAAUCGGAGCCGGUGCGGGAACUUGCGCGACGCCUUCUUUGGUGGCACCUACAUUACUCAAUAUCCUCACAAUUCCUAAGUAGUUUAAGGACUCAGCUAUCUGCAGUGCAGUUACGCCUUUGUUGGUGCGAGCUUCUACAUCUGCGCCCUUCUUUACUAACAAUUCGAUCACAUCAACGUGUCCAGACUCCACAGCGCAAUGCAGGCCUGUAUAUCCAUCUUCUUCUCUAGCAUCAAUGUCCACCCCCUUCUCUAUCAGUGCCUUGACAGCUUCCAUUCGACCCUUGAAUGCGGCUCGGUGCAGUGCUGUCCAUCCAUGCUGGUCCCGCCCGUUGAUUGCUGCUCCAUUCUCAAGCAGCUUGUGGAUUGUCCUCACUUCGCCUUUCCUAGCUGCGGCGCACAGGUUGUCCCCUAGGCUGAGGGCAUCGUAAAGGCGAGUGUGGCCGUACUCAGCUGCUACAUCGUAUGCCGUUUUCCCAGACCGGUUUCGGAUGUCUUUGUUUGCCCCCUUUUGCAGCAAGAGCUUCACCAUGUGCUCAUCGCCUAAGCCUGCAGCAAUGUGUAAGGGUGUGUCCCCGUUCUUGUUCCGAACAUCAGCCCUAGCACCGCUGGCCAGCAACAGUCUCGAGCAGUCCCGUCUUCGCUCCAUGGCUGAUAGGUGUAAGGCUGUGUUGCCGUCCUUUGUGAUGGCGUCAGCGUCAGCCCCCUUGAGUAAAAGAAGCCUCAAAACCUCCAUGUGACCUCCUCUCGCAGCCAGGUGAAUUGGGCCCAAGGUAGAAGAUUGGGAGCGCUCUGUGCUGGCUCGAUGAGCCAACAGGAGCUCCACGAUCAACGCUUCUCCAGACGCCGCCGCCGCCUCCAGUGGCGUGGACCCUGACCGGCUCUGAGCCUCCACAUCAGGCUCGAACUCAAGGAGCAAUUGAACCAGGUCGGCUCUACCUUGAGUAAUAGCCAGGUGAAGUAAUGUUUGGCCAUGCGAGUCAACUGAGUUUGCUCCAUUCCACGCCGAGUCACUCCUCUCGAGCACCUCCCUAACUUCAUCCAUGGAUCCAUCUACAACAAGCUGGGCCAAGAUUGGCGAUCCAACAAACAUGAUUCUGAUGCCGCUGUCGAUGAACACUUGCUUCUUCUUUGUGGUGAACCAGUCAUUAGGAACAGAUUCAACAGCUGCGCCAGGGACGACACAGCUGUGUAGAAGGAAGGAAUCAUCACAGUGAGGAAACGAAUUGGGAAGCAAAGAUCCCGGAGGGAGAUGAUAAGAUAUCUCUACAGUGAGGGUGGCGAGAGGCGCUAUGAUUGCCAUCUGGGGCUUCACUGUGUACCGCAUCUUGUUCAUUGGUUGAAGCCGGAAGGCUACAGGCAUGGUGUACAUAACAUUCCGCAAGAUGAGCUCCCCGUAACACUUCUGGCCAGGUUCAAUCCUGAUUGCAACAAGGUUUGAGGGCUCUAAGCUUAUGAGCCUGUCCAUCUUUACCUCUCCUAUACAAAGAUGUAUGUAACCUUCCAAUUCUCCUUCACUGAGUAUUUCCUUCUUUCUUGAGACUAAACCUUGAUGGGUUUUAAAAGAAAGGCAAAACCCAUGAAGAGAAACCGAGAUUAAACAUGAGAGAUGAAGAAGAUGGAGGUAUUUGAAGGAUGGAAAACAAGGCCGGCACUGCUGAGAGAGUGCCACAUGGUGGGUGUUAAAACCAAAGCUGACUUGUUCUAUUCGGCCUGACAACUGUAUAGUUCCUAAGACACAGUUGUACAAGUCAAAAAACUAAGCAACACUUGCAUAAUUUUUUUCUGCAGAAGUCAUUUUCAGUCUUCAUAUUAAAUCAUAGACACAAACACAAGAAAGAGAGAAAGAAAGCAACUGUCAUAUAUUAAUGUAUUUGUGUAUUAUGCAGCAAAGUAUCAUUUAUUUUUUAUUUUUUUUAAGUAACAAAGUACUGCCAUAGGAGAAUAUCAUAUUCUAGCUUGUGGAAAGUCCAAAGGAAUAAUAUGAUUUUGAUGAUUUCAAAAACAUCUCAGUGUGAAAUGAGGGCUAUAUGAUGGAGUGGUGUUGUUUACUUGGCCAACUAUAGGGACAAAUUGACAAUAAUGCUAUAACAUUAGUGAUCUUGUUGAUUGGGUCAUCUUCCUUUUAUUUAUUUCCUUUAGGGGAGUGUUCCAUUUGGGCGUUUGGCUAUACACAACUCAACCAAACAACAGAAACUUGUCUCUUUGCUCUAUUGGAUCGUGUGUUAUAUGUGUGGAAUAUUCAUUUGUUUGGUGGACUCUAGGCUUGCUUUGCCUUGGUCAAUUAAUAUUUUUCCUCUAGACAUAGCUAGCGUUGGACCUGCAAAAUUUUUUAUGACCUAUUCUUUGAUUGUAAUGCACCAUAAAGGCCAAUAAUAGAAACACCCAAUUCAUCACAUACCAAUCAUAUUAUAUUGCAUCAUUCUCUGCGGGUUAAUCAAGCCAUUAGAGCUGGGAUAUUUUAUUUUCGAAUUUGAUGGGUGCUUAGAUGUCUAUUAAUUUACUAUUUCUUGGUAUUAAAGUUAAUAGGUGCUUAGAUGUCCAUUAAUUUACCAUUUCUUGGUGUUAAAGUAAGAAGAAAAUUAAGUGUUUUCUGUAAUAUUGGUAUUGGUGCAGUUUAGGGUCUAUUUGGAAAACAGAUAUUUGAUUUCUCAAAUAAAAUUUUAUUUUUUAAAAUCUGUUUUUUGAGAAAUAUUUUAAAAAAAACAUUACUUAGUACUAAGACUUAUUCAAUAGUUUUUUUUAUUGAUUAAUAUCCAAAGGUUGGAAGAGAUAGUGGAUGAAACUUAAUGGGUAUUAGGCAAAUCAACGUAAUAAUUUAAAAUGAUUUAAUAACUUAAUUUAAGUUAUUAAGUAAAUUAAAUAUAUUUGAUAAAAUAAUUUAAUGGUAUAACUUAAAAUAAAAAAUAACUUUGAGUAAUAAAUAAAAAUAAUUAACUUAUUAUUAAUUUCAUAUUUUUAUUUUAGUUUUUUUAUCUAUGUUUGCCCUAAUUACUUCUAUAAUUUCUUUUGUUACUUCAUAACUUCCAUUGUUAUUCAACUUCUUUUACCAUAAUUAUAAUUUAUGAGAAUAAAUAUUUCAAUUUGAUGAUUUAAAAUAAAUUUUAUCAAAUAAGUUUAAUACUUAUAAUAAAAAUUAAAUAAUAAGUUUUAAAUCAAUAAUUUAAAUAUAAUUUAUUUUAAAGUCAACUUAAAUUAUUAAGUAAUUAGUACUAAAUUUUACCAAACACUUCUAAAAAUAUGCUUUUUAUCACUAAGUAUGUUCAUUUAUUUAUUUUUUGAUUUGGUGGUUUAAUAUGCUUAAAUGUUUUAAAAUGAUUUGUUUUUUAAAUUAAGUUUUAUUUUCAACUAUUUUAAUUUUAAUUUUAAAUUUGAGGUUUGAAUGGUACUUUAACAUCUAUUUCUAUUUCGAUUUUGGACUAAAAAACAAAUGCCAGCUAAAUAGAGAGAAGAUUAAGGAAGAAGGAUAGGAUGAAACUAGGAAUAUCCCUUUAUGAAAAUGCAAAAUAUGUUGUAUUAAAAGUUAGUUUAUACUAAUUGAAAUGUUGCAAAAACUCAAUGUUAACUAAUUAAUAAAACUAUGUCUAACCAUAAAGUAAUUUGGGUUUUUAUAGGAGUUUCAUUGUUAGGAGGAAAAUUAUGUUUAAAAAUAAAAAUACUUGGAAGUGUAUAUUAAAAAGGGAUAUUCCAAAAUUCCUACUUAUUGGAUUGUAAAACUUGAAUUAAUUUUAUUAUGUUUCACUUAGAAUGUCGGAGGUUGAACUUCUUGUUGAGCUCACAGGAUCGAGUUGCCUAGUUAGUUUAUGACGAUUGAAGGGGGUAGCGCCUCUUGGAAAUUUUUUUUUUAUAUAAUGAAUAACAAGUUUAUCCUUCUUAUAUAUUUAACCAUCUUAUAUUUUAAGGUUUUCAUUUUUUUUUUUGGAGAGCGUUGUUGUAAUUAAGAGUAGUUUUUUAGAGUUUUAUCAUUAUACUCCUUUUCAUUCCUUUUUAUCAAUGGAUUCUUGAGUAUCCGUGCACUCUAUGGACAUAGGAAUCACAUUGAUUGUUGAACCAUAUUAAUUUUUUUUUUCUACUCGUAUGCUUGUGUGAUUGGAUUAAUACUGUUGAUAUAUUUUUCUUAUUUUCUUUUUUCAAGUUUCCAAAAGGCAUAUAUAAUAACCACAUGUUAGAAUUUAGAAUUACUUUUUAUUUAUAAUUGCACUUCAUAGGUGAAACUAAAAAAUAAAAAUAAACUGAGAAUAGAUGUGAAUCACAAUACAAUGUAGAAGAGAAAAUAAAAUUUUAAUUGGAAUAAAAUUUGAUUUUCAUAUUAAUGAAUUUUUACUAGUAUUCUUAUCCUAAAUAAAAAUCCAAAUAUAUUAUUAAAUAAGAAUGAAACAUGACUUAUACGUAGUUGCACUCCAAGUUUAUAUUGCAGAAUUGCAAUGCAUGGAGUUGAGAUGCCUCACAUAUAUGACCAUAUUCCCAACUUGAAGACUGCAGUAAACUGCUAAAUAAGAAGAUUUCAAAUGAAAUAAAUAUGAAAAAUAUUUGCAUUUGUUCAGAUCAUAUGGCAUGGGAUUGGGACAAAGGUAUUUGGGAAGCUUUUGUUAGUGCCUGAUAAAGGCUACUGUAAAAGCCAAAUGGGGAGCUUAGAGUGACAAAUAAUAAUAAUAAACAAUUUCAUAGACUGUUAAUUCUUAAGAGGGGUUUUGUUACCUAGUGAUUUCUCUUAUGCCUUCUUAUGAUUUCAUUAAUUAAUUUUUUUAUUUUACAAGAAACCCAUUUAAAUAUUUUUCUUUUUGUAGUGAUAUGGUGUAUUCAAUUGAUGCAUAAAGACAUAUAAUAGGCUAAAACUACCUCAUGUUGUCUGUUACUAAGCAUCAUUGUUACAAUAAGAUCAUGGGGUGGUUCCAUAUCCCCAACCCUGUCUUUAUCAUAGAAGCUUUUUGGCCAAUCAUACAUGUAAGAAUGUGAAAAUGAGAAGUGUGUUUAUUUUGAAAAAUGGACUCAUAAAAUAUGGUUGAUAGCAACUGUUCUAAAGACAUUUUUUGCAAACAAAUAUUUUAAAAAUAUAUAUUUUUUGGGUAUUUAAAAAAAUAAAAGCACUUUUAAGUCUUGUUUGGACAGCAUAUUUAACUUCUUGAUUUAGUAAUACAAGAAAUAGGAGAAGUUACUAUUAUAGCAGGUUUGAAUUUUAUGUUUAGAAACUAUAUUUUAGAAAUAUUUUUUAUUAAAUAAGAAUAAUUAUGAUAUUUUUAAAAAGUUUUAAUUAAUUUUUUUUUCUUAUUGAUCUUCCUAUCUCUCCAAAAUAUGGAUAAAUCAUAUUGAGACAUACUUUUAAAUUUAUGUUUGACCUACAAACAUUGUAUUUUAACAUUUGCGAAAUUUAUUUGAAUAAGACUUUAAUAUAUUAAGCCUUUUCAUAAAUUCAUUAUUUUCAAUAAAUAUAAAAGAAUUGAUUCAAAUAUUGUCUUAAAACAUUAUUUCUAUUCUCAGUCCCAAAUAGAAUUUUAUCACAAGCUUUAGGCUAUGUUUGGAUCUUGAAAAGUUCAAAGAAAAAUGCGAGAGAAAGAAAAUGGAGAGGAAAAGUAGAAGAAAAAAAAAUUUUAAAUCAAUAAAUUAUUUUUAUAUAUUAUUUUAAACUUUUUCCACUUAUGUAACUCUUCUAUAUAAAUAUUAAAUUAUUUAAAAAUAUAGAAAUUUCUUAUUAAUUUUAAUUGUAUUUGAUUUUGUUUUUCUUUUCUAGUGUUUUUCGCGAACCAAACAUAGUGUUCAUUUAUUAAAAAAAUAAGAUUUGUCUUCUUGCACACCAAGAACCAUGCUCUUAAAUACAUAUGGUGCAUUGCCAUAUAAACUUCAAAAUUAUUUAUUUAUUUGUUUUAUAGCAAAAAAAAUAAUGUUCAAAUAAAUGUAAGCCAAUCUUCAACUAAAAUUUUAAGAAAAGAAUUGUCUUAAUCACUAUGGAUUCAUGCAAUGAAGCCGAAGGCUUACCAAGUCUAAGAUAUUCAAUUUCUUGAAUAUUUAAAUUGCACUUGGCAUGGAGUCUUCCUCCUAACUUUCUCUAAGUAUGCCUUUUCCAUCACUAAAUAUUAAAUAACAUCACUAGAUUGAUUGCCACUAGAAGCAGCUAUGAGUAUUGAACUAUAGGCCUUCAUAGAUUGAUUGAACCAUUGAUUCAAUCAUUAUGGUUAAACAUUGAAUCUUAAAUCAUAUAGUGAUUUAACAUAAUCCUGACCUACAUCCCCUCUCCUCUAACUUCUAUCCAAAGUUUGAGGUUCCACUAUACCAAGGUUUCCAAACCAAGUAUUAAGACAUUACACUUAUGUUAAUUGGCUCAAAUGGACACUUUAUAAUCUUCCUCAAGAGAUGCCUUUAUAAGGAAUCUCGGAUCUCUCCAUUUCCUAUCCCAAGAGUGUUUGGAAUGGUGCAGACUAAAACUCUCAUUUCUCUCUAAAUAAUGGAAAAGACGAUUGAAAGAAUUAGAAACCCUAAUCUCUAAGGGGGUAUUAAUAGGGUUCCUUAUUGGGCUUUAGUGACUUGAAUGCAUUAAGGGUUUUGAUCACUUAAUCUAGCUUAAAAAGGUCCUUAUUGAUUAAUUACCCUAACAUGAUUGUUUAAUUAAUCAAUUUGCUCAAUUUAGAGAUUUUGUUCACUAACACAUGUACAAUCUUACAAAGUUACCAAAAUACCCUUACAAACCAUGUCAUUAAGGUAUAUGAGCUUGAGUGAGGACCAUUAGGACCCAUAGGAUAGUACUAGUUCCCAUCAUAAUCCAAUUCUAAGGUUGAUUCAACAUCCUACUACAGAUAAUAAUGAGACAAAGUUUCGUUUCAUAACCUACUAUUCACUGCAUGGAGAUUUCCCAUGAAUUGGUGUUUGUAAUCUAACAAGGUAGUGCUAUCACCUAUUAAGAUUACCUUUCCAAUCCUUGAGUUAUAGAUCCACUUAUUGUGUGAUCAAUUGACAUAAUCUAACUCUAAGGAGCAUAUGUCAAAUUUCCACUAAAGAAAAUGUUAUGACCAGUCUUUUAGAUCACAUGUUCUUUGGAUCACCCAAAGAAAUACACUGUCUUAAUCCUAUGAGAUAUCGUGGUGCUUCUAUUAAGAAUACUUGUUACCACCAAUCUCCAGCAAUAGUGACCCAAUCCACAGGGAUAUGUGACCACGUCGAGGUGUUACUCAUAUAUGAAAGCCACCUAUUGAUUUUGGCAUAGGUUCAAUAUCAUUUUUAGGUUGAGAGUUCAUACAAUAUAGUAGUUUGGUGAAUUAUGACAAUCGAUAGCCUUACAUCAUGAUUCACCGUAGGUUUUAUUCAAUGUGUAAUCAUACAUACUAGUGCACUCACAAUGAGAAACUUAUCCAAACAGUCAAGACAAGUCAUUUCUCCAAUUAAGAGGUAGUGCAUUGCAAUCUUUACUAGAUUGCCUAAAUCCAUGAAUUGAUUGUGAACACUUUAUCAUCUUUCAAAGAAUCCAUGAUUUGUAUCAUCUAUGCAACUCUUAAUGUACUCAAGUCAUGUACAAUACAAGUGAUAAAAACAUGCAUACUUAGAUAACCAAUUAAUGUACAUGGUAUAGUAAAAUGAACAAGAAGCAAAAAUAAAUAAAUAAAUUUAUUAAUGUAUCUAAAAAUUGUUACAUCAUGUCAUGCUUUCUAGGGUUCUAUUCCAAUAGUGUUGCUUUUGAACCCCCAAGUGAUACCUCCACAUUUGUCUAAGUAAUACCCCAUACUUAAAUUUUUCCUUCUAGUGAUAUCUCAUACUUGAACCCACCUCACAAGGUUUACAAGAAUUGAAAUUCUCAAUACAAAUUCUUAGUUUAUAAAUCUUUUAGAAUAAAAUGAACUAGGAUUGAAAUGUACAAUAAGAACAUAAUGCAAGUUUAAGCUUAAUACACUCAAAAAUAUUUUUCAUAAGGCUUAAGAGAUGAUUAAAUAAUAGUUUGAAACUCUUCUCUAUUUUAUAAAUGAAGUAUAGAGUCUAUAUAUAGAGUUAAAAGGUGAAAGUAAGCGUUAGAAAUAAGUCUCCCAGGAGUAGACGUCUACAUGAUCUUCCUCAUAUUAGCCGUUAGAGCAUUUAAUGAGGUGCAAAGAAUCAUUGGAGGCUAAAAAGUAGAUAUAGACGUCCAAGUAGCCGUUUGCAUUGCCAAGUGGUCAUCCAAGUGGACUUCCAAAUGGGUUCCAUCUUAGGAACUUUGAAUUACUUCAUUCCUUGACCUUGGAUCUCGUAGAGUACAUGCAUUCCAUCCUAGCCUUUUCUAGAUCUAAUGUAACAAAAAAAUAUGAUAUCAAAAACCAAAAUAGAUAUUAGAAGAAUCAUUCUCAAAUCAAAUCCAAUAUGAAGAAGAUGUCAUGGGCAUCAUAGAACUCGUCUACCUAAGGGUUUUUCACUUGAUUCCUCCCUCCAUGGAUCUUGGCACAAGAGAAUGAUGGGUUUCACUUCCUCUCUUGAGGGUAACUAGGGUUUUUUUCAAUCUCUAUCUAAAAGAUGAUGGUGAAAAUGACAAAAAGCCUUAACCCUUAAUCCUUAAACCUUAAGGGGGUUUAUAUAGGGUUCCUUAUGGGCUUAAGUGACUUGAGCCCAAAUUGGGAUAUUGUCACCUAAUCUAGCCAACUUGGGUCUUAAUUAAUUAAUUAGCUCUAAUGAGCUCUAAUUACUUAAUUAGAUCAAACUACCAGUUUAAAAAAACCUUCAUAAGAUCUAGUGCAACCUUGCAUUUUUACCAAAAUGCUUUUAUGCAUACUUAUGAACUACAAACCAAAAUCCUUCAAAUAACAUGUACCACCAUGAGCUAAAAGCUCCAACGAGGACUAUUAGGACUCAUAAAAAAAUACAAAAAUACUGACUCCCUCAUAAUCCAAUUCUAAAGUUGAUUCAACACUUCAUUAAAGAAAGUCAACUACACUAAUAUAAGAAAAUAUCGACUUCUUCAUUAUAUAUCUUAAUAGUUUUGUGAAAUUAUUAUAUGUUGACGACGUACACUUUUAUUAUUGGUUAAGAUGAUAAUUGAUUUGCAAUGUUUUUGACAUGAAGGAUCUAGGAGGUGCUAGACAAAUCUUAGGGAUGUAAAUCACAAGAAGUUAUGAUUAUCUCAAGAAUAAUAUAUUGAAACACAUGACUUGAAUUUCAAGAAGUUAUGAUUAUCUCAAGAAUAAUAAAUUGAAACACAUGACUUGAAUUUCAAGAAGUAUUGAAAGAUUCUUUUAGAGGAAUGGUAUGAAAGAAGCUAAGCAAGUUAGGUCCCCUCUUGGUGGUCACUUCAAGAUUUUCCUAACUUCAAUGAAGAGAAAAAGAAAGAAAGUAUUCCUUACUCCUUAAUUAUAGGGAGUUUGAUGUAUGUUAUGGUAUCUACAAGCCCAAAUAUAAUUCAUGCAAUUAGAGUUGUAAGUAGGUUCUUAUCUAAUCCAGGAAAAGGGCAUUGAGAGACAAUAAAAUGGAUCUUCAAGUGCUUGAUAGGUAGCUCAAGCAUGUGCUAUGUUUUGAAAGAGCUUGAUCGUCUAAAAGGGUUUACAAAUGUAUAUGGUUGAUGACAUUAAUAGUAGAAAAUCUACACGUGGCUAUUUGAUCAUUUUUGUAGGAGUCAUGUCAUGUCAGGCUAAAUUACAACCACUAAAAUAAUAAAGGAGAUGUUGCGGUCAAAGGUUCCCCCCCCCCCCCCCCCCCAAAAAGAAUUGAGUUUCCCCCCCCAAAGAAUUGAGUUUAGAAGAGAGGCAGGGUGCUAUGGGUCCAAGCAAUAGCACCAUGUAUCAUACCACCUUACAAUGCUCACCCUUAUUUCCAAAAUUUGAUAUUUGCAUAAGGAACUCGAAAAGAAAGCUCGGAACAAGCACCCAAAUAUUUGAGAAGUGCAUUAGUGAAAAAUAUAUGUAUUUAAUGCCUUGUUAGCAUCCAAAGAAUCCUUUGGGAACAUUUUAUAUUAUUAUUAAGUUUUAAAAACAAAUGUUUUUAUUUCUAGAAAAAUGUUAAUUUGGCAAUUGGAUUGUUUAUCAAGUUAUGGACUUCCAAAUUUGGGCUCAAAGAAUAAAGGCAAAAUUAUUGAAUGAGAUAGACAAUUAUCAAUUCCACCAUACCCAAUAAGGAAAUGCAAAAACAUCUUUCUUACUUCUUUUUUUCCAAAAAAAAAAAAAUCAAAAUAUAUUUAUUUUUUUAAUAUCAUUUAAUUAGAAUAUCAAAGUGUAACAAGCUUAACUAUUUUAUAUCAUAGAUUCAUAUGGUAGACACAAAAAAGUAUAAAACAUCUCAUUGUUAUUAUCAUCAUACAAUAUUAUUUUAUUUUUACAGUAGGCCUCACAUUCACCAAGAACACCACACCAGUGCCAAAAGCAAAUGACCCACCACCUAUGAGAUUUUUUUUUUUCUUCCUCCUCCUGUUUCUUCUUCCUCCUUUUUCUCUUUCCUUGCUUUCCCCAGCUAGUACGUAUUUUCACCUGCAAGAUAAAAACAAACAAUAUCAUGCCUUUGAUAGUAAAAAAGAUGACCAAUCUACCAUAUAACAAGAAGGAAAAAGAAAAAAAAACAUAGAAAAAUCAUCAGAAAAAAGAAAAUCUUCAAAUUGGAAACUACUUUUUCCCAUGGCAUUUGAAGAUGAUGAUGACAGAUCGAUCAUUCUGCAAUAUUAAAAGAUCCUUCUUCUGCUAAUAAUGAUCUACAGUUGUUCAAUCUCAAGAAAAACACAGAUCCAACAGGUUUCUGAUGGAGAAAUUCAUAUGAAAAAUGAGAGCAAUAUGAUAAUAAGGAAAUCUAGCAGACUGCAUACCAUAGGUGGGAAGAAGAAGGGAGGAGGUAGGGGGUGGUCUAGUCGCUGUCGCUGCUGCUGCUGCUAUGGCCAUCAUGUUCAUGGCCAUGCUCGUGCUUCUUCUUCUCCUUCUUCUUCUUCUUCUCCCCAACAGGCCCGUGUUCAUGUCCAUGUCCUUGGAUCUUCUCCAUUAUCCCUCCCUUGUGUUCACCUUGCCCAUAACCCUCUCCCUUGUGUUCACCAUGCCCAUACCCCUGACCCUCUCCUUUGUAUUCACUAUGCCCAUACCCCUGACCCUCUCCUUUGUAUCCACCAUGCCCUUGCCCCUCUCCCUUGUAUCCACCAUGCCCUUGCCCCUCUCCCUUGCGCUUCUCCUCCUCCUCCUUGCGCCCUCCCCCCAUGUGAAGGGUCUCCUCUAUCUUGUGGAUGAUUCCUGCCAUUUUUCUCUCUGUGAAAACCUUGAUCUGAUGUACACAACAAUGGACAACCAACCUCCCUUAUUUAUGGGCAUUCAUAUUCCAACUUAUCUCAACCCUUGUUUCUGAUUCAUGUUCCAUUGCAAUAUCAUGAACGUACACGUGGAUGAUAUUAAAUGCGAAUUUUCUUCUGAUUUUUCCAAGACACGCGGCGGAUCGAGACAGCAUUUCCGAUCGUCAUCUGAUUCAGUUUUUCCUGUACUCUUCCUCCUCUAUGAUUCCACGUUUUCAAAAGUGCUUUUUCCAGCGAAUACCGUGUGUCGGCACUUGGAUAAAAGUCCGCGUGACAAUGAUUUUAUUUUAGAUUUUGAUAUUGUCUCUUUUUUUCGUUCCAUCCUAAUUAUGAAUAUAAUUAAUUUUAAUUUUGGGAGAUGAAGUGGGACCCAGUUGUUCAUAUCAAAAUGACUUGUUGUUUACAUUAAAAUAAGAUGCGGAAUGGAUAAGACGGCGUGCUCAUUCAGGUGCCGACACACGGUAUUCAUAGAAAAGUGCUUUUGGAAAAGUUGGAAGCCAUCCAGAAGUUAUGAUCGGGAUGAGAAGCCACACCCUCCACCACAUCAGCCUACCAUUCCUCUCCACGUCCACAUGCAAAACCAUUUCUCCAUCCGCCGCGUGUAUCCAAAAUUGAAAUUCACAUUGGAUUGCGUCAAUUAAUUCUAUAAAUAAUUUGAAAGGUAAUAAAAAAUAAAAUAAGAGAUAUAAAGUCUCAUAUUUUUUUAAAAAUAAUAUUUUUUUUUUUAAAUAUCUCCAUGCAGGCCCACAGUAUUGAAGGGAGUCACGUGGUCACGUGAUUAUGACACCGGCAAUAAAGGAGGUACGUUGAAGUCUUCAUCUUAUCAACACCGUAUUAGAUUCACAACCCCACUCUGCUUAAUGCCUGCCCUCUGCUUUUAUGAGAGAUGGUGAGGACCACUUGUAACACUUUGCCGACAGGUUGUGUUUUGCCCGUUUCCUCUCUAUUUCAUUUCUUAAUGUUAAAAUUUAAUCUUGAUUAAAAAAAAAUUAAAUUCUAAAAAAAGGGUUUGAAAUUUCUAUAUCCAUUCCUUAACAAGUUAAUUAAAUAGAUUUAUUAUAUUUAAAAUUAUAAUAUAAAUUGUACCUUCCUUAAGAUAUGUUGGGAGUAGUAAAUUUUAGGGCUCGUUUGACUGUGAUUCAAUCUUCAAUUGGGUAGGAGACAUUUGUGUGGUAAAAUGUAUUAAUACUUGAUAAAUAAAGAAAAAUUAUAUGAAGACUUAAAGUCUAUGUUUGGAUAAAUUUCUAAUUUUUUGUUUUUGAGAUGAAAAAUCUUAUACAAAAUAUACAAGUUUUUAUAUAUAAAAAAAAUUGUUUUGUAUAAGAGUUUUUAUAUUUUCUACAAGAGUUUCUAUUUUUGAAAAUAAAAAAUUAGAAAAUGUAUCUAAACGUCUCCUAUAUUAGUUGAUCGUAGAGAAUCUAUUUUUAAAUUUUUCUUACUUGUCCCAAUCAUAAAAAUAAAAACUAGAAAAUUGGAAGUAGGGGAGGUCUUAAGAACCCUACUAUAGGGAAAGUCCGAGUUUACAUUUCCUCAUAUGCUGAGAUUUUUUUAAUUCUAUCUCAUUAUCUAGCCCUUCAUUUUUAUCUCAUUGCCUUCUUAAAAGACUUCUUACUUAAUAAGUGACACCCUUAUAUUAUUACAACUAUUAAGGUUGGGAGCCGAACUUUAGGGUUCCUACAAAGGCUAGGUGCACCUUGAUGGUAUGUUUGAUGCUUAUAUCGUCAAGUUCUUAAGAUAAGUCGAGAAUCUUGGUUUAAUAGACAAAAUUGGAGGUUCAUUGAGAUGAGAUAAACUAUGUAGUUUUAGACCACUUUGACUGAAUUAAGAGAAGGGGACCUACCACCAUCAAGCAAAACAUGUUAUCGAUAGACAAUACUCCAAGUCAAAGGCCUCUCAUUGAUGACCUAUACGACUAAUAGGGGGCAAUCUUAAACAUCAAUAUAAAGACCUAGUUAAAAAGGUUGUCAUUUGUGCAUAAAUUUGAGAGUAUUUUGGAUUUUGGCCCCUAAAAGCUUUUGACCGUCUCUCCAAGAGUCUUUUUCUAAGUGCCCGUUGUAUUUCAUUCCUACUUUAAGUUGAUUACCACUUGCUCUCCUCCAUUUUUCUUCAAGAAUUAACAACUUAACAUAUUUAUAGCCCAACUAUCUACAAAAAAACCCUCAAUCAACAUUAAAGUAACUACAGUGAGGAGUUGCAAAAAAGCGUUGAGGAAAUGUAGUGGCAUGUAGGCUCUUAUCGAAGAAUAGAAUCAUUCUUACCAUAACCAAUCCUAAGCUCUUAUUCCAAGCAAUAGCUGUAGGAAGAGUGUAAAUAAUUUUUAUUUUUAUUUUAUUUUUGGGAAGAGUCCUAUUGGGAAUUUUUUUUUUAUUUUAAUCUAUUAAUCUUAUAUUUUUGGGAAGAGUCCUAUUGGGAUUGUGCUAGUGGAGUCUCAUUCCUUUUAUAAGUAGAAUCCCCUUCCAUUUUGAGUCAUGUUCUGAUUACAAGUAGAGUCACAUUAGGACUGUAUUAGUGGCUUAUAAAAGAAGGUCACUCCUCACUCUCUGUAUAUGAAUACCAAUUUUCCAGAGAGUUUUUCAGAGAGUAUUUCCAUACAUCUAUCUGGAGGAUUUUUUGUUUUUAAAACCCGAGUUGUACACAUCUCGCUUACAAAGUGCACCCAAUGUGGGAUCUAGCUGUUGAAUCCUAGAGGUAGACCACUGGUACCCUAGUACACCGAGUUCGUCUUCGAGGAAGGUGGAUCUAUUUCAAGGACAAUGUUUGUCAUGCCUCAAUCGAUGAGUUUUUCUUCUUAUUAAUUUUGUUCUUUGUUUGUGUCUUUUAGGCUAAUCAUUUGUUUUCAUACCCUUAAAACCAAUAGUAGCAAGGCAUUUUCCAAUCUUAUUCCCUUACUUAUCACUUUUGAAAACAUCUAAACUUGGAUCUUAAACGGUCUCCACUUGUUCUAUCUCCUAACUUGAAAGAGGCAUAUGUUGUUCCUAACUAACCUAUUUAAGAUAUGUAACAACGAUUACCAUUGAAGCCCUAUUAUAAUCCACCUCUUUCAAGCUAGUUAGUUGACCUUAUUCCCUUUAGUAUAUGACUCCUACCAUCAUAUGCUCUUCAAUGGCCACAUUAAUAAUGCCUAUGAGCAUCUUUGUCACUUCAUCCAACCCCUUUGUGCCCAUAGAGCAGGCCAUAACCUUCAUCUUCAUGAAUUCCUUAAUUCUUUAAGAUGACUACUCUCUUUCACCACAGGUUUGUUAGCACAGAUAAAUGUUUUGUCUACAUUAAUUUAAUCCAAGAUUGUUCACACCAUGUAUAAGAUGUCACAUGUUAUAUCCAUCAAUUCUAUUAACGUGCAACAGGGCAUUACAACCCUAUCUCUAAAGAGAUCCUAGCCCACUUGUAAAAUAGUGAUAGCAUAAUGAUAGACAAUAUUGUCUACCUCAAAAGUAAAAAAAUUCCAACCUUUUCUAAGAUUUAAAAUAGCUCACUAAGUGAUUUCUACCUGAACACUUUUGUCUUUAUCUUGGUUAAGAACAAGAUUUAACACUACAAUGCAAAGCCCUUGUAAAGGUAACUUUGGGAUGAAUUUUGUUGAGAUUGUAUGCUCUAAAAACUACUAUAUUUGGCAUUUUAUCUUGCCAAUAAUUUUUUUUAUUAUGAAUCUUAUCAUAUAUCUUGGAUAAUUUGUAUCUAUUUUUAUGCAUGAUUAAUGUAUUAAUGUAUCCAAGUUUUAAAUUGUAGAUACAAUGAUGCAUAACAUUGGAUGUGCAUAGUGUUGAGGAUCCUCUGCCUUAAUCUAAGGCCUUCCAUAUGUGCAUCCAUUGACCCUCAAUCAUAGGAGCUUGUUUAGCUAAUUCUUUCCAUUUAUUUUAUAAUCAAUCUUUAUGUGUAAUUAAGUUGUUAUACAAUUUGUGAAUGAUUAUAUAUAUGAAAGACUCUCACCACAAAAAGGUGUGGUGGUUUUCAAACAUUCUCAUGGUAUCAGAGUAUACUUGGAUUAACAUCCCACGAUCCCCAAUGGCCUCUGAUUCUUCUUCCACCCUCCUUCCCUUCAACACCAUGAUUCACAUGGGUACUAUCAAACUCUCAUCCUCUAACUAUCUCUUAUGGAAAAGCUAACUUCUUCCCUUUCUCGAGAGCCAAGGUCUGCUGGGUCAUGUGGACGGUUCUCUUGAGCCGCCACCUCCAUUUGAUCCUCCCACCUCUCAGACACCAAAUACCAAACACUUGGCAUGGAAAGCCAUUGAUCAGAGCCUAUUGACUAUUCCCCUCGCUUCUGGUUUGAUGCCUUUAGCACUACAGCUUAUAUCAUCAACUGAUUUCCCGCACCACUUCUUGGAGGUAAGUCCCCUUUUGAGCUUCUAUAUAGUUCCUCUCCAAAUUAUGAAAAUUUUCAUCCAUUUGGUUGUUGUGUUUAUCCUUGUUUACGUGAUUAUAUGCCUAAAAAAUUUCCUCCCCGUAGCAUUCCUUGC